rnacentral:rRNA from 1 species
CAGCCUCCGCGGUAAUACGUAGGUGGCAAGCGUUGUCCGGAAUUAUUGGGCGUAAAGGGCUCGCAGGCGGCUUCUUAAGUCUGAUGUGAAAGCCCCCGGCUCAACCGGGGAGGGUCAUUGGAAACUGGGAAACUUGAGUGCAGAAGAGGAGAGUGGAAUUCCACGUGUAGCGGUGAAAUGCGUAGAGAUGUGGAGGAACACCAGUGGCGAAGGCGACUCUCUGGUCUGUAACUGACGCUGAGGAGCGAAAGCGUGGGGAGCGAACAGGAUUAGAUACCCCUGUAGUCCCUGUCUCUUAUAC